UUUUAUAAAAAGAGUCAUGUUUUAAGUAAUUAAAUUUUUAAAAAAAAAUAGAAAAUAGAUCACAACAAUUUGUUUAAAAAACCGUAGUGAUAUAUCUUUCUUUGUUUAGAUAAAAACGAAAGGUGGUGCAAAAUUCUGAAGAAAUCACGAAUUAGCAGGCGUUGAGAGUCGAACUCAUGAAACAUCAAUUAAUAUCACUAUGAUUGUUUUAGAAAAUCGUAGUCAUAAAUUAUCAAU
rnacentral:lncRNA from 1 species